UACGAGGGGGGCAAGCGUUGUUCGGAAUUAUUGGGCGUAAAGGACGCGUAGGCGGUGCGGUAAGUCUGAUGUGAAAUCUCCGGGCUCAACUCGGAGUCUGCAUCAGAAACUGCCGUGCUCGAGUGUGGGAGAGGUGAGUGGAAUUCCCGGUGUAGCGGUGAAAUGCGCAGAUAUCGGGAGGAACACCUGUGGCGAAAGCGGCUCACUGGACCACAACUGACGCUGAGGC
rnacentral:rRNA from 1 species